UCAAAAAUUGUAAAUUUUUUUAUAAUAUUUCCCUCUACAUCAUUUUAGGUCUCCUGACUUUUUUCUCACUUCUUCCACCACUAAUUUACCCCCAACAACUCAAAAUAUACAUGCCAAAUUGAUUCGAGGUAAUGGAGAAAUGAAAGCAUGCUAGACGGAAAGCAAACACAUGCGCAGCAUAUACAUUGGGAGAUAAGACGGAUUACAUGUAGACCAGUCAAGAGAUGGGACUGGUUGAAGCAGCAGCAACAAGGAAAAUUGGGCUACUCUUGAGCUAGUCAAAGUGAAUGGCACUGAUUGAAACUAAUUGUUAAUUAUAUAAGAGAAAUAAGAAUAAAUUCUUAUGUUAAUAUGUAAGAGAUAUUCCUCUUAGUUAACAACUUUAGGGAGGAUUCCUUGCCAGUCAGCCUCAACGUGCAUUCAACACCAAGGUACAAUCAGAAAAGGAUCUCCACACCUUAGAUUCUUCUAAAAAAGUUGGUCAUUGCUAAAGCAUGAUAACUUCUACUCAACCAUGUGUAAAAAUCUCAAACCAUAUCCUAGAAAACUAAUCAAGAUUAAAACUUAAAAAAUAAAGGCACAUAAUUCAAUAAACCUCAAUAAAAACACAUUUCAUAGGUUCUGG
rnacentral:misc_RNA from 1 species